rnacentral:rRNA from 1 species
ACGGAAGGCAGCAGUGGGGAAUAUUGCACAAUGGGCGCAAGCCUGAUGCAGCCAUGCCGCGUGUAUGAAGAAGGCCUUCGGGUUGUAAAGUACUUUCAGUCGUGAGGAAGGUGUUAAGGUUAAUAACCUUAGCAAUUGACGUUAGCGACAGAAGAAGCACCGGCUAACUCCGUGCCAGCAGCCGCGGUAAUACGGAGGGUGCGAGCGUUAAUCGGAAUUACUGGGCGUAAAGGGCACGCAGGCGGUUAAUAAGUUGGAUGUGAAAUCCCCGGGCUUAACCUGGGAAUGGCAUUCAAGACUGGUUAGCUAGAGUCUUGUAGAGGGGGUAGAAUUCCAUGUGUAGCGGUGAAAUGCGUAGAGAUGUGGAGGAAUACCGGUGGCGAAGGCGGCCCCUGGGACAAAGACUGACGCUCAUGUGCGAAAGCGUGGGGAGCAAACAGGAUUAGAUACC